rnacentral:rRNA from 1 species
AUUGAACGCUGGCGGCAGGCUUAACACAUGCAAGUCGAGCGAGCGGCGGACGGGUGAGUAAUGUCUGGGACACUGCCUGAUGGAGGGGGAUAACUACUGGAAACGGUAGCUAACACCGCAUACUCUCAGAUGUGCCCAGAUGGGAUUAGCGAGUGGGUGGGGUAUUGGCUCACCAAGGCGACGAUCCCUAGCUGGUCUGAGAGGAUGACCGCGGAAACUGGAACUGUGACACGGUCCAAGAUCCUACGGGAGUCAGCAGGGGGGAAGGUUGCACAAUGGGUGAAGGCCUGAUGCAGCCAUGCCGCGUGUGGGAGGAAGGCCAUCGGGUUUUAAAGCACUUUCAGCGAGGAGGCGUUAGACGUAGAAGAAGAACCGGCUGCCUCCGUGCUAGCAGCCGCGGUAAUAC